rfam:Butyrivibrio fibrisolvens DSM 3071 genome assembly, contig: EJ22DRAFT_scaffold00018.18
GUGAACUACCCACCACCUAAAGGUAGUGGGCUUCUGUUAAAUAGUUCACCAGACUAAGUAUAGAGAAAUCUAUACUACGAUAUUUAGGUCAUGAUACCUUCGGUUGACGCAACAGACCGUUGCUCUAUCGUAUAUAUUUAAGUUAGGUCAGAGUAAGAAUAGCCUUGUGAUAUGUACUUAGAAAGCCUAUAUAUCAUUGUCGAGUUGAAGUCGGA